rnacentral:rRNA from 1 species
ACAUGCAAGUCGAGCGGAAAGGCCUCUUCGGGGGUACUCGAGCGGCGAACGGGUGAGUAACACGUGAGUAACCUGCCUUUGGCUUUGGGAUAACCCUCGGAAACGGGGGCUAAUACCGGAUAUUCAGCUUCUGCGGCAUCGUGGGGGUUGGAAAGUUUUUUCGGCCAGGGAUGGGCUCGCGGCCUAUCAGCUUGUUGGUGGGGUAAUGGCCUACCAAGGCGGCGACGGGUAGCCGGCCUGAGARGGGCGACSGGCCACACUGGGGACUGAGACACGGCCCAGACUYCYACGGGAGGCAGCAGUGGGGGAAUAUUGGCACAAUGGGCGGAAGCCUGAUGCAGCGACGCCGCGUGAGGGAUGACGGCCUUCGGGUUGUAAACCUCUUUCRGCAGGGACGAAGCGCAAGUGACGGUACCUGGAGAAGAAGCACCGGCCAACUACGUGCCAGCAGCCGCGGUAAGACGUAGGGUGCGAGCGUUGUCCGGAUUUAUUGGGCGUAAAGAGCUCGUAGGCGGCUCGUCGCGUCGACCGUGAAAACCCGCAGCUUAACUGCGGGCUUGCGGUUGAUACGGGCGGGCUAGAGUUCGGUAGGGGAGACUGGAAUUCCUGGUGUAGCGGUGAAAUGCGCAGAUAUCAGGAGGAACACCGGUGGCGAAGGCGGGUCUCUGGGCCGAUACUGACGCUGAGGAGCGAAAGCGUGGGGAGCGAACAGGAUUAGAUACCCUGGUAGUCCACGCUGUAAACGUUGGGCGCUAGGUGUGGGGGGCCUCUCCGGUUCUCUGUGCCGCAGCUAACGCAUUAAGCGCCCCGCMUCGKGGAGUACGGCCGCAAGGCUAAAAACUCAAAGGAAUUGACGGGGGCCCGCACAAGCGGCGGAGCAUGCGGAUUAAUUCGAUGCAACGCGAAGAACCUUACCUGGGGUUUUGACAUGGCCGCAAAAAACUCGCAGAGAUGUGGGGGUCCCUUCGGGGG